rnacentral:rRNA from 1 species
UAUGGUCAAGUGAAGAAGCGCAUACGGUGGAUGCCUUGGCAGUCAGAGGCGAUGAAAGACGUGGUAGCCUGCGAUAAGCUUCGGGGAGUCGGCAAACAGACUUUGAUCCGGAGAUCUCUGAAUGGGGGAACCCACUCAGCAUAAGCUGAGUAUCUUGUACUGAAUACAUAGGUGCAAGAGGCGAACCAGGGGAACUGAAACAUCUAAGUACCCUGAGGAAAAGAAAUCAACCGAGAUUCCCUUAGUAGUGGCGAGCGAACGGGGACUAGCCCUUAAGUGGCUUUGAGAUUAGCGGAACGCUCUGGAAAGUGCGGCCAUAGUGGGUGAUAGCCCUGUACGCGAAAAUCUCUUAGUCAUGAAAUCGAGUAGGACGGAGCACGAGAAACUUUGUCUGAAUAUGGGGGGACCAUCCUCCAAGGCUAAAUACUACUGACUGACCGAUAGUGAACCAGUACCGUGAGGGAAAGGCGAAAAGAACCCCGGAGAGGGGAGUGAAAUAGAUCCUGAAACCGUAUGCGUACAAGCAGUGGGAGCCUACUUUGUUAGGUGACUGCGUACCUUUUGUAUAAUGGGUCAGCGACUUAUAUUCAGUGGCGAGCUUAACCGAAUAGGGGAGGCGUAGCGAAAGCGAGUCUUAAUAGGGCGUUUAGUCGCUGGGUAUAGACCCGAAACCGGGCGAUCUAUCCAUGGGCAGGUUGAAGGUUAGGUAACACUGACUGGAGGACCGAACCGACUACCGUUGAAAAGUUAGCGGAUGACCUGUGGAUCGGAGUGAAAGGCUAAUCAAGCUCGGAGAUAGCUGGUUCUCCUCGAAAGCUAUUUAGGUAGCGCCUCAUGUAUCACUGUAGGGGUAGAGCACUGUUUCGGCUAGGGGGUCAUCCCGACUUACCAAACCGAUGCAAACUCCGAAUACCUACAAGUGCCGAGCAUGGGAGACACACGGCGGGUGCUAACGUCCGUCGUGAAAAGGGAAACAACCCAGACCGUCAGCUAAGGUCCCAAAGUUAUGGUUAAGUGGGAAACGAUGUGGGAAGGCUUAGACAGCUAGGAGGUUGGCUUAGAAGCAGCCACCCUUUAAAGAAAGCGUAAUAGCUCACUAGUCGAGUCGGCCUGCGCGGAAGAUGUAACGGGGCUCAAACCAUACACCGAAGCUACGGGUAUCACUUAGGUGAUGCGGUAGAGGAGCGUUCUGUAAGCCUGUGAAGGUGAGUUGAGAAGCUUGCUGGAGGUAUCAGAAGUGCGAAUGCUGACAUGAGUAACGACAAUGGGAGUGAAAAACUCCCACGCCGAAAGACCAAGGUUUCCUGCGCAACGUUAAUCGACGCAGGGUUAGUCGGUCCCUAAGGCGAGGCUGAAAAGCGUAGUCGAUGGAAAACAGGUUAAUAUUCCUGUACUUCUGGUUAUUGCGAUGGAGGGACGGAGAAGGCUAGGCCAGCUUGGCGUUGGUUGUCCAAGUUUAAGGUGGUAGGCUGAGAUCUUAGGUAAAUCCGGGAUCUUAAGGCCGAGAGCUGAUGACGAGUUGCCAUUAGGCGACGAAGUGGUUGAUGCCAUGCUUCCAAGAAAAGCUUCUAAGCUUCAGAUAACCAGGAACCGUACCCCAAACCGACACAGGUGGUUGGGUAGAGAAUACCAAGGCGCUUGAGAGAACUCGGGUGAAGGAACUAGGCAAAAUGGCACCGUAACUUCGGGAGAAGGUGCGCCGGUGAGGGUGAAGGACUUGCUCCGUAAGCCCAUGCCGGUCGAAGAUACCAGGCCGCUGCGACUGUUUAUUAAAAACACAGCACUCUGCAAACACGAAAGUGGACGUAUAGGGUGUGACGCCUGCCCGGUGCCGGAAGGUUAAUUGAUGGGGUUAGCUAACGCGAAGCUCUUGAUCGAAGCCCCGGUAAACGGCGGCCGUAACUAUAACGGUCCUAAGGUAGCGAAAUUCCUUGUCGGGUAAGUUCCGACCUGCACGAAUGGCGUAACGAUGCGGCGCUGUCUCCACCCGAGACUCAGUGAAAUUGAAAUCGCUGUGAAGAUGCAGUGUAUCCGCGGCUAGACGGAAAGACCCCGUGAACCUUUACUAUAGCUUUGCACUGGACUUUGAAUUUGCUUGUGUAGGAUAGGUGGAGGCUUUGAAGCGUGGACGCCAGUUCGCGUGGAGCCAUCCUUGAAAUACCACCCUGGCAACUUUGAGGUUCUAACUCAGGUCCGUUAUCCGGAUCGAGACAGUGUAUGGUGGGUAGUUUGACUGGGGCGGUCUCCUCCUAAAGAGUAACGGAGGAGUACGAAGGUGCGCUCAGACCGGUCGGAAAUCGGUCGUAGAGUAUAAAGGCAAAAGCGCGCUUGACUGCGAGACAGACACGUCGAGCAGGUACGA